rfam:Nematostella vectensis strain CH2 x CH6 NEMVEscaffold_224_Cont19623, whole genome shotgun sequence.
UCCCAUAUGGUCUAGAGGUUAGUAUUUCUGGUUUUCACUCAGACUGCCAGGAAUCGACUCCCGGUAUGGGAA